rnacentral:rRNA from 1 species
AUGAACGCUGGCGGCGUGCCUAAUACCUGCAAGUCGAGCGAACAGAUGAGGAGCUUGCUCCUCUGACGUUAGCGGCGGACGGGUGAGUAACACGUGGCUAACCUACCUAUAAUACUGGGAUAACUUCGGGAAACCGGAGCUAAUACCGGAUAAUAUCUUGAACCGCAUGGUUCAAUAGUGAAAGACGGUUUUGCUGUCACUUAUAGAUGGAUCCGCGCCGCAUUAGCUAGUUGGUAAGGUAACGGCUUACCAAGGCAACGAUGCGUAGCCGACCUGAGAGGGUGAUCGGCCACACUGGAACUGAGACACGGUCCAGACUCCUACGGGAGGCAGCAGUAGGGAAUCUUCCGCAAUGGGCGAAAGCCUGACGGAGCAACGCCGCGUGAGUGAUGAAGGUCUUCGGAUCGUAAAACUCUGUUAUUAGGGAAGAACAAAUGUGUAAGUAACUAUGCACGUCUUGACGGUACCUAAUCAGAAAGCCACGGCUAACUACGUG